rnacentral:rRNA from 1 species
AGCUGCCGAAGGUGGGGUCAGUAAUUGGGGUGAAGUCGUAACAAGGUAGCCGUAUCGGAAGGUGCGGCUGGAUCACCUCCUUUCUAGGGAA